GCAAAUCCCAAAAAUAAACGUCCCAGUUCGGACUGUAGUCUGCAACCCGACUACACGAAGCUGGAAUCGCUAGUAAUCGCGAAUCAGAAUGUCGCGGUGAAUACGUUCCCGGGUCUUGUACACACCGCCCGUCACACCAUGGGAGUCGGGAAUGCCCGAAGUCAGUGACCCAACCAUAUGGAGGGAGCUGCCGAAGGCAGGUCUGAUAACUGGGGUGAAGUCGUAACAAGGUACC
rnacentral:rRNA from 1 species